UUGGCCUGGGGGGAGGAGGUAAUCUCCACAGCCCUGAUCACUGGAAUAUUGUUGAAAAUCUACUUCUGCCAUGGAGAGAUUCCAAGCACUGAAAAUAAAGUGACUGGUGCUUCAAGAGAAAAAUGGGUGGUGCUAUUUUAGAGAUGCUGGAAGCAUAAAUGGUUUUGAACACUUUUUUUUUCUUCUGUAAUCAAAGCCAGAUGUAUAUAUAUAUUUUUUUCCUAUCAUGAGAAAGCAAAGAACUUAGAGCACACUUCUUCAAAGUCUUAAGAAUGCUGUAAAAAUGUGUCCAAGUAGAUCUUUGCAAUAAAAUUUUAUCUUGAAAAUGAGAACCAAAACUGGCAUAUCAUGAGUUUGGAUCAUUUACCUUCUGAAUAUGACAAUCCUAUCAUGUAACAGUUGUGAAUGAAUUUCUGAUAAACUGAGGGGCACUUACAGCUGGUCCCAGUAGAAAACAUCAGGAGAACAGGACUUAAAUUGUCAUAGUUGUUUGUUUCUUUCUGGGUAAGGUGUGUUAUGUGUAUUAUAGGCAAAUAGCAAAAGCUGAAGAUGGAUUUUGGAAGCGUUGCAGAUGAAACUUAAAAUACUUGGGCAUCUUGAUAGAAGGAGUCCCUCAUGGCACCUGCUUACCUUGCACAUUUCUUUCCUCCGCCAGCAGGGUUGAAACUUUCUUUUCCUGAGUCCACGAUGCAGUGCUUGGAAAGGAGCAGAGAAGUUGAAAGAGCUUAGUGGGCUAUAGAAGGAUUUCCAGUUUAGUCACUCGUUAGCAAGAAGUUGAAGGGCAUGCCAGUUCUAGGAACGACAUCGAUAGAGAAGAAAUGUAACUGGUUGGGUGGAGUUCCUUGCUGUGCUUACGUUUCUGCAGGAGUUGAAGCAGUGAAACCGGCACAGACUGAAAGAGCUGUGUUUAAAAAUAGUUCAGAUGCUGAAGGACAGAGACUGUGAUGAGCACUAACAGCGAUGUGCAACGUGAACUGAUGGCAGGUAUUCAUAUCUAGUCCUCGUAGUCUGAGAUAAAUAUGGAAGCCAUAGGUGCAGAGUGACUUCUGUGGAUUCCUCUGUUCUGGACGAAUAUUUCAGUGUUGAUAGAAACAUUUGUUUCCAUAGCGUGUCCAAGAGCUGUUCUGCAGUGGAGAAGGUAAGUUCAUACGUGUGGGCAGGGGGUGGACAACCAAACCCUUAAUCUGUUCUGAUUUUUUUUUUUUCUCUGACCCAGUCCUUAGAGUUUUAUUGGACAGAUGUUGGACUGAUCAGACAGCUGCUGAAACCAUGAAGAAUUGGGGCAUAUUUUUAUCACUGGGGAGGAAAAGAGAUACCUAAGAUUUUUAGCCUUUCCACGAUGCUCUCAGACGCGUUGUUGAAUUUUAGGGUGUUUCUGUAUGGAUCCAGAUUGCAAUAUGCUGUAAUUAUAUUUGUUGUCUUUUGAAACACAGACUCAGGUGCAGUUCAGUGUCAUUCUCUGUUCAUUUUCCUGAUUGAGGAUUACUGUCUCUGCAGUGCUUGUUGCUUGAAACUAUUCCGUUGCCAGUGUUUAUUUCUGUUUUACAAGUUCAGCUGGGUCCUCUUUGCUUUAUGGUGAGGGACUGCUGCUGGCUAUUAGCUGUGCUUUAAAGACAAACAUUCCUAUUUUCAUUCAAGUUCAGAUUGUGUUUGCUCUGAAACCCAGUGGAAGUGUUAGCUGUGUCUCAGCUCCCUGAUUUGGGUUGAUAGGACUUGCCUGUGAAUCUUGUUCUGACAGAUCAUUACCUCCCUGGACUCCUUCCUUAGCUAACUUAUCAAAGAAUUCAGGUACGCUUUGCUAGGUAAAACUGUGUGUAGACAGCAGGGAUUUGUUGUUCAUGGGAGGAGGGAGGGGGGAGGAAUUCAUAGCAUGGAAACAUGAAAUCUGAAUCAGUUUGAAUUUAAAAAUAAACAUCUAGGAGAUUCAGUAUCUUAAUGCUGUGGGUUGGAAGAAUGCUGGAGAAGCUCUUGAAUAUGAGAUUUUUUUUUUUAAAGUGUCAAUAAAAUUGUGUGCAAUCUGUGCUAUUGCAGUAAAUAGAAACUGUACCAUGGAUUAGCUCAUCUUCCAGAAGAACCCCAGCAUCUGCCUGCCGUGGCAAGUGAUCUGAGGAGCUCCAGGUGGGUGUGCUACAUGUGUAUCGAGUCUUCUCUCUAGACAGUGUACUCUAUGAACUGCACAUGCAUUGUAUAAUUGUUUCCUACCUGGUCCUUUUGUAAUGUCCAUUUGUUUGUUUGUUUUUCAAAUAAACAUCUUUUGAAGUCA